GACGAGUGGCGGACGGGUGAGUAAUGUCUGGGAAACUGCCUGAUGGAGGGGGAUAACUACUGGAAACGGUAGCUAAUACCGCAUAACGUCGCAAGACCAAAGAGGGGGACCUUCGGGCCUCUUGCCAUCGGAUGUGCCCAGAUGGGAUUAGCUAGUAGGUGGGGUAACGGCUCACCUAGGCGACGAUCCCUAGCUGGUCUGAGAGGAUGACCAGCCACACUGGAACUGAGACACGGUCCAGACUCCUACGGGAGGCAGCAGUGGGGAAUAUUGCACAAUGGGCGCAAGCCUGAUGCAGCCAUGCCGCGUGUAUGAAGAAGGCUUUCGGGUUGUAAAGUACUUUCAGCGGGGAGGAAGGGAGUAAAGUUAAUACCUUUGCUCAUUGACGUUACCCGCAGAAGAAGCACCGGCUAACUCCGUGCCAGCAGCCGCGGUAAUACGGAGGGUGCAAGCGUUAAUCGGAAUUACUGGGCGUAAAGCGCACGCAGGCGGUUUGUUAAGUCAGAUGUGAAAUCCCCGGGCUCAACCUGGGAACUGCAUCUGAUACUGGCAAGCUUGAGUCUCGUAGAGGGGGGUAGAAUUCCAGGUGUAGCGGUGAAAUGCGUAGAGAUCUGGAGGAAUACCGGUGGCGAAG
rnacentral:rRNA from 1 species